UACAGGUGCUGGCUGUAUGGCGUUGGUUCAUUCUCCCCAUGGCCUCGGUAGGUUUUCUCCGGGUACUCCGGUUUCCUCCCACACUCCAAAGAUGUCAGGAGCAGAAUUCCGAGAGUAAUGGAGGAUAAGUGUACACAUAUCUUUGCCUUGUACAAAAGAUGGUGUUAAUCGUGAGGUGAGAAUUCCACUGCUGAAUCACUAUCGCUGAUUUAAUGUAUGUACUCAUUCCUGAUUCUUUCAUCCUCCUACAGUAUGAAGAAUAAUAUCAAUUGGCUAAUUGUGCAACGGAUUCCUGCCCUUCCUAUGGUUGUACAACUCCUGAUCGAAGAGGAGGAUUUACUAGAAACCCUGCUGUGGUUCUGUUUCAUAGUCAAGUUUGGACAGAUUGCCUCUUUAAAGAACAUUGGCAGGAAAUUCGACACUCGUGCCCUGAUGUCCGAGUGAGAAGUCAGUUGCUGUCUUCCAAUUUGUGUGAACCAUUCUGCAACCUACGGAAUUUUGGAAGACGAUGAACAGUGCGCCUGCCUGAUAGGCUACGGAUCAAGUUCUGGAAUUUGAACGGGUAUUUUCCAGCCAGCACGGACACCAUCUUCCAUGUCACCAACCCUACGAUUCCUUGAAACUGGCAAGAUGUCUGAUUCACACAACCUGGAGCGCUCUCAUCAAAAGGUUUUUUAAAUGCUGUGGAUCAGUUGGUCAUUUCACUGCCAUGAUAGAUAAGAUUUUGGUGGGAGGGUUAACGAGGGAUUUGGAGCAAAUGUGCAUAAACUAAUCUGAGCACAGGCCUUCCCUGACUAACAAAUGGAUUCUAUUUGUACAGAUGUUGAUUUUUGUGUAUGUCAGAAAAUAAGCAAAAAUUACUCUGUGGUAACCAUUUUGUAAUGAAUGGCAUUAAAAACCACAUAAUGCUGACAAGAAGGAACAAUUGUUAAAAGAGACGAAACUGUGUUUGACGUUCCUUGAAAUUAAUGAAUGUACAUCGGACUUUUGAAUUUAAUUUUGAAGCUUCUCUGCAUGUAUGGGCUUCUCGUAAAUGGGGCAUUUGUUACUCUGGGAUGGCCUGUGUACUGCUCCAUCAUGGUCUAAUUGAAGGGCAAGAAAAAUAUUAGAGGAACUGAAUUGAUUAUGUUUUUUAGCUUUGAAGAGGAAUGUUGUGCAGAUCAUUUAAUUGAGGUAUAGAAAAGUAUUUAUGGCACAUGGAAUAUCAUUUUAUAUCUAGGAGGGAGGGACAGAAUGCUGAGGCACAACACAUUUUCCAUAUGCUUGUUUAGUUUCUGUAAUGAAGAAUGAUUUGUAAUCUGGCAAGCAAAGUCAUUAAUGGAUUGUCUUGUAAUUCCCAGACAUACUUUACACAUGCCUGGUUAUUUCACGCAAUAGAUCAAAAGUAUUGACUUUGAUCCUUUUUCACUAAAUCAGUAUCCCUUGUUUGGAAAUCUUUAUUCCUUUGGCAAGAACCGUAUGUACCUGACUGAUCUAUGAACUCUCCUUUUGACCUUCUCUAAGCACUGCAAUCCCAUUUUAUUUGGAUUUUUCAUGUUUGAAGCCUUUCAUCUUGAAACUGUUGAUGCAGUUGAGCUCAACGUAGAAGAGAUUUGUUAAAACUUAGCAAACCUUGCUUUUAUACUUUGCUUCUCUGUUCCAAAGGUUCUGUGUUCCCUUUUAUUUUGCACUCAACAUUUAUUAACAAGACAAAGUACACGUACAAACAAGAUAUACAAAUCACACAGCAGCUGUCAGCAUCACAUCAGAUCAUCCUAGAGUUCUGUCGCAGAAGCAUCACAUUCACAGGCACCCAAGCAAGCUCAUCAUAUUUAAUCCUACUUGAUAUAUAAUCACCCGUUAUGUUAAACCAGACACUUGUAUGCCACUUGAAGAACGUAUUUUGUCAUUGAUUGUCACUAUGUACGCACUUAUACACAGUCAUAAUCAUGUCUACAUAUGGUUCCAAAUACACGUACACUAUUCCAGUCGAACUCCUCCCCUCCACAGGGCCUAUGGAGGAAUCGUGUCCAUAAUCAGUCUUGGCAGUUGUAGUAAUACCGAUGUCCACAUAAUGUUGAAAGCAUCAGUCCUUAACUGGAGUUUAGCUGUUAUACUUUCCAUCAAAUAUACACUUUUCAGUCUUUCCCUCCACUGUUGAACAUUUGGUGACUUUACAUUUCUCCAUGACACUGUAAUCGUCUUCUUUGCAAUCAACAGCAACACCCCAAGCAAGUAUGUCUGAUUUCUGGUAUUUAUAUUUUCUGGAGUCUCUCCUAGUAUGAAGAAUGCCGGCUCCAGAGGCAGAUCCACCCCCAAGAUUAGCUUGAUCUUCGCCUGAAUGUCUCUCCAAUAUUGAUACAAUUUGGGACAAUCCCACAAAAUAUGGGUGUGAUCACCAAUCUUCCCGCAUUGUCUCCAGCAUAAAUCUGAGGUGUUGCUGUAUCUUGCUAACAUAAGAGGAGUCUUAAAUACUCUCAUUCUAGUUUUCCAUUCAAACUCCCUCCAGGCGAGGCUGUUUGUUAAUUUAUGAGCCGAGACGUGCCUUUUCCCACAUUUCGUCAGUAAUAAUAAUAUUCAUUUAGAUUAGAUUCCUUUAUUUGUCAUUCAGAAGUUUCGGUCUGAACGAAAUUUUGUUGCCUGCAGUCAUACAUAUAAUAAUAAAUAACAAAACACACAAUAAACCCAAAUUAACAUCCACCACAGUGAGUUCACCAGGCACCUCCUCACUGUGAUGGAGGCAAAAGUCUUAAAGUCACUUUCUCUUCCCUCCUUAUUUCCAAUUCCCAUUUCUGUUCCGUUUCUAUAGUGUUUCCUUUUACAUAAUCUUGAAGUCCUUUAUAUUAGUGGGAUAUCAGAUUAUUUUUUUUAUCACUCCCUCCAUAGUCAACAGGAAGAACUUUUCCAAAUUAGAAGGUAAUUUACAUAUCUGCUCCCAAUCUACAUAUGUCUGCAGAUAAUGCCUUAUUUGGAGAAAUCUAAAAAAGUCCAACCCUGACAAACAGAAUUCUUUCUGAAGAUGCUGAUAUGAUUUCAAAACUUCCCCACAAAAAAUCCGAUCCACAGUAUUGAGCCCUUUGUCUGUCCAAUUUCUGAAGCCAUUGUCAAUUUUGCUGGGUAAAAAAAUCAGGAAUAGCAGCUAUCUUCAGUUGAAGAGAUUUAGUUGUUUUCUUAUAACCAGCCAAGUUUUCAUUGUGAAUUUAAUCCAUUCAUUAUCAGUUUUUAAUUUCUUCCAGCUUGCUUGACUUAGCAAUGGGAGCCCUGCCAGGGCAGUACUGGGGCAUGAAUUUUUCUCUAUAUUCACCCACCCCGUUUCUUUAUCAUUUAUUAUCCAUGCUAUCAGGGUCCUCAGCUACGCUGCCCAGUAAUAGUAUUUAAUGUUGGGCAAAUUGAGGCCCCCUUUUUGUUUUGGCAGUAACAGUGUCUUGAGUCAAAUUCUAGGUUUCUUAUUUUGCCACACAAAUCUUGAUAGCUCUUUGUCCAACGCUUUAAAUGCCACCACAGGGACCCCUACUGGCAAAGAUUGAAAUAAAAAAAGCAGUCGGGGCAAAUUAUUCAUUCGAACAGCUUCAAUUCUACCAAUUUGAGAUAGAGGGAGCAUUUCCCAUCUGAGCAUCUCUGCCUUUAUCCCCUUUAGCAGCUUUCCAUAGUUAGCUUCGUACAGUGUUGAGAUGGAGGGGGUGAUGACAAUGCCUAGGUAUCUGAAACCCUCCCUAGACCAAUGAAACCUGACCUGAUCAUUUAGUUGCGAAGGCCAUGUACUUGACAGCAUCAUUGCUUCCGAUUUUAAAUCAUUUAUUUUAUAACCAGGUACUACUCCAUAUUCCUUCUAAAACUUGCAUUGGGUAAGGCACUGAGGAAAUAGGAUUGCUCACAUACAGCAUGACAUCAUCUGCAAAUAAUGACAUUUUAUGUUGCACCCCCCUAUCAUCUUUUAUACCCUCUAUAUGAUCCUCUUGCUGAAUGGUUUCAGCGAGCAGCUCUAAGCAUAAAUCAAAGAGCAGGGGACUCAAACUGUCCCCCUGUCUAACUCCCCGCUUCAAUUCAAUUCAAAAAACUCAGAGCAACACCCAUUCACCCUCACUCUUGACUUUGGAUUUAAAUAUAGUACUUUCACCCAAUUUAUACAUUUUGUGUGGAACCCCAUCUUAUCUAAUGUAUGUUCAAGAUAGACCCAAUCUACUCUGUCGAAAGCCUUUUGGGCAUCUAAACUGAGUAACAUUGAAGUCUGAAGCUUCCGUUUUGUACAUACCAUAACGCCUGAUAUUAAUAACUCCCUGUCUACCAGGUAUGAGCCCUGUUUGGUCAGGAUGUAUCAGUUGUGUUAUUUUUUGGAUUCUCUUAGUUAGUAUAGUGCUAAGUAUCUUUUGGUCAUUUUGGUCAUUACAUAGGAGACUUAUGUUCCCUUUUUAAAUUGACUAUCAACCAACUUAUUCUGCAAUUGUUAAAAAUUACCUUUGUACAUCUGCAGUGAUCUCUGUCCCAACAUCCCCCAUAAAAUUGUGCCAUUUAGUUGACAUGGAAUUCUGGAGGUGG